UACGGAGGGUGCGAGCGUUAAUCGGAAUUACUGGGCGUAAAGCGCACGUAGGUGGCGACGUAAGUCGGGUGUGAAAGCCCCGGGCUCAACCUGGGAAUUGCAUUCGAGACUGCAUUGCUGGAGUACGGAAGAGGAAGGCGGAAUUCCCGGUGUAGCGGUGAAAUGCGUAGAUAUCGGGAGGAACAUCGGUGGCGAAGGCGGCCUUCUGGUCCAGUCCUGACACUCAGGUGCGAAAGCGUGGGGAGCAAACAGG
rnacentral:rRNA from 1 species